GGAGGCGUGGAACAGAACGUCAGUUUUACUGGGGACUCCUGGACACCCUCUCCACACACCGGAAUGGCUUCCUCUUCUCCCUGCUUCCAGCACUCCCGUGUUUAUGACAGGUCGGGUAGGGGAGCUUCAAGCAGGCCAGGAGGAGCAUAGAACAUGGACCUAGGUGUCCCCAAGGAGACAUUCUCAUACAGUAACUGCCCUCCCUGCACAUAGAGGACUACCCCUGCUAGCUCACCCCAGCCUUCGACAUUCUCCUACCAGACUCCACGUCCCCAGAUCAGCCUGUCACGUUGCGGGAAGGCAGCUCAAAGGCCACGGAGGGUUCCGGGUUGGAUUUUACCACACACAGGCACUGCACGGUGUCUCUGGCCGCUGCACAGUGCGAUUCCAGAAGGAUUAUGGGAGCAACUGCAAGAUUAAAAGCAAGGCUAAAGGCCCUUGUGCUUGGAAACAGUCAUAAGGAGAUUAAAGAGAUAGAAAAUGGAAGGACCCCAGAAGGACACUCAUUCCCACUCUGUACCUGAUGAGGACAUCACAGUUCCCUCUGCACACAAGCUCUCCUAAUAGAUACCUGACUCAGGCCACUGUGACAUCCAACAGGUACCAACAUGCCAUCCAAGGAUUCUUCCUAUUUUUUCUUUCUUUCUCCACUCCCUGCCCUGCCACCCUUUUGGGUUUUGAGAUGGGCUUUCUCUGUAGCCCUGGCUCUCCUAGAACUCACUCUGCAGACCAGGCU
rnacentral:sRNA from 1 species